rnacentral:rRNA from 1 species
UCCUGUUGAUCCUGCAGGAGGUCGCUGCUAUUGGGAUUCGACUAAGCCAUGCAAGUUUUCUCAGCAAUGGGAAGCAGAAUGCUCAGUAACACGUCAAUAAUCUACCCAUAAGUCUAGUAUAACCUUGGGAAACUGAGGCUAAGACUGGAUAUGUGAAAGAUUCUGGAAGGAACUUUCAUUCAAAGGUAACGCUUAUGGAUGAGUUGGCGGCCGAUUAGGCUGUUGGUGAGGUAAAGGCUCACCAAACCAUAGAUCGGUAAGGGCCUUGAGAGAGGAAGCCCUGAGAAGGACACUGAGAAACUGGUCCUAGCCCUACGGGGUGCAGCAGGCGCGAAACCUUUACAAUGCACGAAAGUGUGAUAGGGAAUCCCAAGUGCUUAUGCAACGCAUAGGCUUUUGCUAAGAGUAAAUAUCUUAGCGAAUAAGUGAUGGGUAAGACUGGUGCCAGCCGCCGCGGUAAUACCAGCGUCACAAGUAGGGACCGUUUUUAUUGGGCCUAAAGCGUCCGUAGCCGGACAUAUAAAUCUUUUGUGAAAUUGUCUAGCUCAACUAGACAGCGAGCAGAAGAGACUGUAAGUCUUGGAACCGGGAGGGGUCAGGAGUAUUCCAGGGGAAGCGGUAAAAUGUGAUAAUCCCUGGAAGACUACCUGUGGCGAAGGCGCCUGACCAGAACGGAUUCGACGGUGAGGGACGAAGGCUAGGGGAGCAAAACGGAUUAGAUACCCGAGUAGUCCUGGCAGUAAACUCUGCGAGCUAGGUGUUGCAUAUUCUAAGAGAAUAUGCAGUGUCUUAGCGAAGGUGUUAAGCUCGCCGCCUGGGAAGUAUAGUCGCUAGACCGAAACUUAAAGGAAUUGGCGGGGGAGCACUACAAGGGGUGCGGCGUGCGGUUUAAUCGAACUCCACACCGAGAAUCUCACCAGCAGCGACGGCAGAAUGAAAGUCAGAUUAAAGGUCUUACUAGACAAGCCGAGAGGUGGUGCAUGGCCGCCGUCAGCUCGUGCCGUGAGGUGUCCUCUUAAGUGAGGCAACGAGCGGGACCUGUAUCCACAAUUGCUAACGACUCUUAGGAGAAUCGAGCACAAUGUGGAGACUGCCUUGGUAACGAGGAGGAAGGUGCAGGCAACGGUAGGUCUGUAUGCCCCGAAUCUGCUGGGCUACACGCGCGCAACAAUGAUUGAGACAAUGGGAUACGACUCCGAAAGGAGAAGUUAAACCUCGAAACUCUAUCUUAGUCCAGAUUGAAGGCUGUAACUCGCCUUCAUGACGAUGGAAUCCCUAGUAAUGGGGUGUCAACACCGCCCCGUGAAUACGUCCCUGCUCCUUGCACAUACCGCCCGUCAAACCACUCGAGUAGGGGGGAGAUGAGUAUUAGCUUUUUGGCUAAUCCGAAUCUGUCCUCAGCGAGAUGGGUUAAGUCGUCAC